UACGUAGGGUGCGAGCGUUAAUCGGAAUUACUGGGCGUAAAGCGUGCGCAGGCGGUUUUGCAAGCCGGAUGUGAAAUCCCCGGGCUCAACCUGGGAAUGGCAUUUGGGACUGCAAGGCUCGAGUGCGGCAGAGGAGACUGGAAUUCCCGGUGUAGCAGUGAAAUGCGUAGAUAUCGGGAGGAAUACCGAUGGCGAAGGCAGGUCUCUGGGCUGACACUGACGCUCAUGCACGAAAGCGUGGGGAGCAAACAGG
rnacentral:rRNA from 1 species